AAAACCUGAGUUCAAAUUCAGUCUUAGAUUCAUACAAGCUUUGUGACCCUAGACAAAACGUUUAACUUCUAUCAGUUGCUGGAGGCCAGCACCUGGUAGUGGGCCCCUAACCCCGUGAGAUUACCACACCCCAAGCAGCUUGUUCCGGGACAAACCGGACAAACAAGAUGUUGCCACACCGCCCCUGGAAAGUCCCGGAGGCCCAUUUUCCCCUUUUGCCCCUCCCCGCUUUUGCCCUAUAUAAGCUUGUAACGCUCAAAAAUAAAAUUAGACCUUGCCUACCAUCCUUUUGGUCUCACUCCUCCUUUUCACCCAUUCCCUUCAGCCAGGGUCCUCCUCGACCCCCCACGUAUACUGGCCCUGCAGGUCGGGGCAAGUGGCGCCCAACGUGGGGCUCGAGGUUCGGACUUCUGCCAGGCGGACCAGCAUUGAGAAACGAUUCGUCGCGACCCCCUCCUUCUCAUCGCUCAUGAAGAGCCCCUGCGUUUUGAAAAUGACGAUCCUCGUAAUUUUCCUCCUGUUCCGUGGGAGCCACGGUGGUUUUCAAUCUCCUGACCCAGUAGCGCUCAGCCGUGCCCUCUUUGGAAGCCCUUGUGACUGCGGCGGGGGCACGUUCACUGUCCGUCCCGCCACCUACACGCAAGAAGUGGACUGCGGGGAAAAGACAGCCUACCUCGCCUACCGUCAUUCUAUCACGGGCGUCUCCAAACCCAAGUGGGAAUGCGUAAGGAAGCCCCGAGUUAUCCCUCCGAAUGGUGGCCAGCCCGGGCCUUGCCCCAGUGAUUGCAACUACCUUGAGGCCUUGCACUCCACAUGCUAUAGUUCUACCCAGCAGUGCAGUGGCAGCUCAGGAACAGUCUAUCUUACUACAAUACAGGAAAGAGAAUAUGGUGGCUCCACAGGAGGGGACUGGGCGCAUAUAACUAGCCAAGGCCUACGUGGAAGUACCAAUAAGUAUGCUCAGGCUUCCUGUCGUAAAGAAAAUAUUGGAAAAAAUGUCUGUUGGCCCCUUCAUGCACCUGUCCAUAUCUCUGAUGGGGGUGGCCCUACAGACCAAAUUAGGGAACAUGAGAUUGAGGCUUCUCUUAAAAACACCGUCAAUAUCCAUUACCACCAACUUGCUUCGUCAGAAGAUCCUACUGAUACCAUGGAAGAGGGUCUCCAGUUCUCGAAGCUCGUGCAUCCGGAAUCUCGCUGCUCGCGGUGGUGGAGAAAUAUUAAGGAUAAAAAGUGAUCUGGCAGCUGUGAGAGAGCCCAUGACGGGAAUAUUGAGGUCCCAUGUUUCAAAAAAAAAGAUCAGCGCGGCUGCAGUUGUUUCCCCAUGACGGGAAUAGAGUGAGGCCAUGAUGGGUUACAUCGUGGGGUCCCCUCGCUUAGCCUAAGACAGGGACCACUGCCACUAAUGCGCUUUGAACAUGGAGGCCGACCUCAUAGCCUAAGACAGGCCUCUCACCUGCUAUUUUAAAUACAAAAUGGGGGACAUGCUGGAGGCCAGCACCUGGUAGUGGGCCCCUAACCCCGUGAGAUUACCACACCCCAAGCAGCUUGUUCCGGGACAAACCGGACAAACAAGAUGUUGCCACACCGCCCCUGGAAAGUCCCGGAGGCCCAUUUUCCCCUUUUGCCCCUCCCCGCUUUUGCCCUAUAUAAGCUUGUAACGCUCAAAAAUAAAAUUAGACCUUGCCUACCA
ensembl:lncRNA